AUUGAACGCUAGCGGGAGGCUUAACACAUGCAAGUCGAACGAGUGGCGGACGGGUGAGUAAUAUAUCGGAAUGUGCCCAGUAGCGGGGGAUAACUACUGGAAAGGGUGGCUAAUACCGCCUACUAUUGGAGCGGCCGGUAUCGGGUUAGGUAGUUGGUGGGGUAAAGGCUCACCAAGGCCACGAUCCGUCGCUGGUUUGAGAGGAUGAUCAGCCACACUGGGACUGAGACACGGCCCAGACUCCUACGGGAGGCAGCAGUGGGGAAUUUUGGACAAUGGGGGAAAUCCUGAUCCAGCCAUUCCGCGUUGAUGAGAAGGCCUUCGGGUUGUAAAGUACUUUUAGCAGGGAGGCGUUAUCUGCAGAAUAAGCACCGGCUAACUACGUGCCAGCAGCCGCGGUAAUAC
rnacentral:rRNA from 1 species